rnacentral:rRNA from 1 species
AGUCCCGUAACGAGCGCAACCCUUGCCAAUAAUUGCCAUCAUUUAGUUGGGCACUUUAUUGGGACUGCCGGUGACAAACCGGAGGAAGGUGGGGAUGACGUCAAGUCCUCAUGGCCCUUAUGGCCAGGGCUUCACACGUAAUACAAUGGUCGGUACAGAGAGUUGCCAACCCGCGAGGGGGAGCCAAUCUCAGAAAGCCGAUCGUAGUCCGGAUUGCAGGCUGCAACUCGCCUGCAUGAAGUCGGAAUCGCUAGUAAUCGCGGAUCAGCAUGUCGCGGUGAAUACGUUCCCGGGCCUUGUACACACCGCCCGU